rnacentral:rRNA from 1 species
CAUGGUUUUUUGAUUAUAAUUUAAAAUUUGAUCUGCUCAAUGAUAAUUUAAAUUGCCGCAGUAUAUUAACUGUGCAAAGGUAGCAUAAUAAUUAGUUUCUUGAUUAGAAGCUGGAAUGAAUGAUUGGACGAUAAAAUAACUGUCUCUAAAUAAUUUUUUAAUGAAUUUUAUUUUUAAGUUAAAAAGCUUAAAUUUUUUUAAAAGACGAGAAGACCCUAUAGAGUUUAAUAUAAAUAUUAUUUAUAAUUUUAGUAAAAUUUUUUUAAUGUUUUUAUUUAGUUGGGGUGACUUGAAAAUUUAAAUAAUUUUUUAAUAUUAUAAUUUUUAAUUAGAAAAUUACUUAUCUAUUUUUUUAAAAAUAAAAUAAAUUACCUUAGGGAUAACAGCGUAAUUUUUCUUUAAAGUUCAUAUUAAAAGAAAAGUUUGCGACCUCGAUGUUGGAUUAAAAUUAAUCUUUGGUGCAGUAGCUAAGGAAUUAAGUCUGUUCGACUUUUAAAAUUUUACAUGAUCUGAGUUUAAACCGGUGUAAGCCAGGUUGGAUUCUAUCUUUAAUUUUAUUAUAUAUUUUAGUACGAAAGGACCAAAUAUAUAUUAUAUUAAUUG